rnacentral:rRNA from 1 species
AACGAACGCUGGCGGCAUGCCUAACACAUGCAAGUCGAACGAGACCUUCGGGCCUGGUGGCGCACGCGUGCGUGGCGCGGGGGGUCAUGCCCUUGGGUUCGGAAUAACGCGCCGGAAGGGGUGCUAAUACCGGCUCAUAUCUUCGAACCGAAGGUUUGUCGCGAUUGGAUGGGCCUGCGUGGGCUUGGCUAGUUGUUAGGGUAAAAGCCUACCACGGCGACGAUCCAUAGCUGGUAGGAGAGGAUGCUCAGCCACACUGGGACGGAGACACGGCCCAGAAUCCUACGGGAGGCAGCAGUGGGGGAUAUUGGACAACGGGCGAAAGCCUGAUGCAGCAAUGACGGGUGAGUGAUGAAGGCCUUAGGGUUGUAAAGCUCGUUUAUCCGGGAUGAUAAUGACAGUACCGGGAGAAUAAGCACCGGCUAACUCCGUG